UAUAACAGGUUGUUAGCUUGAUUUCUGACU
rnacentral:piRNA from 1 species